UACGGAGGGUGCUAGCGUUGUUCGGAAUUACUGGGCGUAAAGCGCGUGUAGGCGGCCCGCUAAGUCUGAUGUGAAAGCCCGGGGCUCACCCCCGGAAGUGCAUUGGAGACUGGCGGGCUCGAGUCCCGGAGAGGAGGGUGGAAUUCCUGGUGUAGCGGUGAAAUGCGUAGAGAUGUGGAGGAACACCAGUGGCGAAGGCGACUCUCUGGUCUGUAACUGACGCUGAGGCGCGAAAGCGUGGGGAGCGAACAGG
rnacentral:rRNA from 1 species